rnacentral:rRNA from 1 species
CCUACGGGAGGCUGCAGUGAGGAAUAUUGGUCAAUGGACGAGAGUCUGAACCAGCCAAGUAGCGUGAAGGAUGACUGCUCUAUGGGUUGUAAACUUCUUUUAUAAAGGAAUAAAACGAGGCACGUGUGCCUUUUUGCAUGUACUUUAUGAAUAAGGAUCGGCUAACUCCGUGCCAGCAGCCGCGGUAAUACGGAGGAUCCGAGCGUUAUCCGGAUUUAUUGGGUUUAAAGGGAGCGUAGAUGGGUUGUUAAGUCAGUUGUGAAAGUUUGCGGCUCAACCGUAAAAUUGCAAUUGAUACUGGUAGUCUUGAGUACAGUUGAGGUAGGCGGAAUUCGUGGUGUAGCGGUGAAAUGCUUAGAUAUCACGAAGAACCCCGAUUGCGAAGGCAGCUUACUAAACUGUGACUGACAUUGAUGCUCGAAAGUGUGGGUAUCAAACAGGAUUAGAUACCCGUGUAGUC